rnacentral:sRNA from 1 species
UCGCUUCGCCUUGCUGCUGGGAAACUGAACGAGGCCGAGAGAGAAGGUUCUUGAGUUCAUGUAAGAGGACAGUCUUAAAACGGAAGAAGAAAAAGAAGCAGUACAGUCUUUGGGAGAGCUGCCUCCUUGUUGAGUGCUGCAAAGGCCUGGAAUUCAUUUAUGACAGAAUAGAUCUAGAAAAGUCCAAGCAUGUUUUCUAGAGUGGUGUAGCCCUGUGCUGCCUCCAGUGAAGAGUCUCUUGGUGUUGGCUUCGUGCUUCCGGAGGGACCAUGGCAACCUCCAGAGGGGCCUCCCGGUGUCCUCGGGAUAUCGCCAAUGUGAUGCAGAGGCUGCAAGAUGAGCAAGAGAUAGUACAAAAACGAACUUUCACAAAAUGGAUCAACUCUCAUCUGGCCAAGCGGAAACCUCCAAUGGUGGUGGAUGAUCUUUUUGAAGACAUGAAAGAUGGUGUAAAACUGCUUGCCCUUCUGGAGGUCCUGUCUGGGCAGAAACUGCCUUGUGAACAAGGACGCCGGAUGAAGCGAAUCCAUGCUGUGGCUAACAUUGGCACGGCACUCAAGUUCCUCGAAGGAAGAAAGAUUAAAUUAGUCAACAUUAACUCCACCGAUAUAGCUGAUGGCCGACCCUCAAUAGUUCUUGGAUUGAUGUGGACCAUUAUUCUAUAUUUCCAGAUUGAAGAGUUGACCAGCAACCUGCCCCAGCUCCAGUCUUUGUCCAGCAGCGCAUCCUCCGUGGACAGCUUAGUUAGCUCUGAGACUCCCAGCCCACCAAGUAAACGGAAGGUGACCACCAAGAUCCAAGGAAAUGCCAAGAAGGCUUUAUUAAAGUGGGUUCAGUACACGGCUGGCAAGCAGACUGGAAUAGAAGUAAAAGAUUUUGGGAAGAGUUGGAGAAGCGGAGUUGCCUUUCAUUCAGUUAUUCAUGCCAUUCGACCCGAACUGGUGGACUUGGAGAAAGUGAAAGGCAGACCCAACCGAGAAAAUCUGGAGGAUGCUUUCACUAUCGCCGAAACGGAACUGGGGAUCCCAAGACUGCUAGAUCCUGAAGAUGUUGACGUGGAUAAACCAGAUGAGAAGUCUAUUAUGACCUAUGUAGCCCAGUUUCUGAAACAUUAUCCUGACAUCCACAAUGCAGGCACUGAUGGGCAAGAGGAUGAUAGAGAAGACAGGCUAAUUUUUAAGGAAAUGAAAGUUUGGAUAGAACAAUUUGAGAGAGAUUUGACAAGAGCACAGAUGGUGGAAUCAAAUUUACAGGAUAAAUAUCAGUCAUUUAAGCACUUCAGAGUUCAAUACGAAAUGAAGAGGAAACAGAUUGAACAUUUAAUACAACCAUUACAUAGAGACGGUAAAUUGUCACUUGACCAAGCAUUGGUAAAACAAUCUUGGGAUAGAGUGACCUCCAGGCUCUUUGACUGGCAUAUACAGCUUGAUAAAUCUCUUCCUGCACCUCUGGGCACCAUAGGUGCCUGGCUGUACAGAGCAGAGGUGGCCCUGAGAGAGGAAAUAACCAUUCAACAGGUCCACGAGGAAACAGCAAACACGAUACAACGGAAACUUGAGCAACAUAAGGAUCUGCUUCAAAACACAGAUGCCCACAAAAGAGCAUUCCAUGAAAUCUACCGGACCAGGUCUGUUAACGGGAUUCCAGUGCCACCUGAUCAAUUAGAGGACAUGGCCGAGAGGUUUCAUUUUGUUUCCUCCACAUCAGAGCUACACCUAAUGAAAAUGGAAUUUUUAGAAUUAAAGUACCGUCUGCUCUCACUGCUGGUUCUUGCAGAGUCAAAGCUGAAGUCUUGGAUCAUUAAGUACGGGAGGAGAGAGUCAGUGGAGCAGCUUCUACAAAACUACGUGUCUUUUAUAGAAAAUAGCAAGUUCUUUGAACAAUAUGAAGUGACAUACCAGAUCUUGAAACAGACAGCUGAGAUGUAUGUCAAAGCAGAUGGUUCAGUGGAAGAAGCUGAGAAUGUGAUGAAAUUCAUGAAUGAAACCACCGCUCAGUGGAGGAAUCUCUCAGUAGAAGUUAGGAGUGUGAGGAGCAUGCUGGAAGAAGUGAUCUCUAACUGGGAUCGCUAUGGCAAUACAGUGGCUAGUCUGCAAGCCUGGCUAGAGGAUGCUGAAAAAAUGCUCAAUCAAUCAGAAAAUGCCAAAAAGGAUUUUUUUCGAAAUUUACCUCAUUGGAUUCAGCAGCAUACUGCCAUGAACGAUGCUGGCAAUUUUCUAAUUGAAACCUGUGAUGAGAUGGUUUCCCGUGACCUGAAGCAGCAAUUACUGUUGCUAAAUGGGCGGUGGAGGGAGUUGUUUAUGGAAGUCAAGCAAUAUGCUCAAGCUGAUGAGAUGGACAGAAUGAAGAAGGAAUACACAGACUGUGUUGUUACCCUGUCUGCUUUUGCAACGGAAGCCCAUAAGAAAAUUUCUGAACCCUUAGAAGUCUCUUUUAUGAAUGUCAAGUUAUUAAUUCAAGACUUGGAGGAUAUUGAGCAGAGGGUGCCUGUGAUGGAUGCCCAAUACAAGAUAAUUACCAAGACAGCACACCUCAUUACCAAAGAAAGCCCCCAAGAAGAAGGAAAAGAAAUGUUUGCAACCAUGUCAAAGCUCAAAGAGCAGCUAACCAAGGUCAAAGAAUGUUACUCCCCACUCCUUUAUGAGUCUCAGCAGCUGUUGAUUCCGUUGGAGGAAUUAGAAAAGCAGAUGACGUCCUUUUAUGACUCACUUGGGAAAAUCGAUGAAAUUAUCACAGUUCUUGAGCGUGAGGCACAAUCGAGUGCUCUUUUUAAACAAAAACAUCAGGAACUGUUAGCUUGUCAAGAAAACUGUAAGAAAACCUUGACACUUAUUGAGAAAGGCAGUCAAAGUGUUCAAAAGUUUGUGACCUUGAGCAACGUGUUAAAGCAUUUUGAUCAGACGAGGCUACAAAGACAGAUUGCAGAUGUUCAUGUUGCUUUUCAGAGUAUGGUAAAGAAAACUGGAGAUUGGAAGAAGCAUGUGGAAACCAACAGUCGCUUGAUGAAGAAGUUUGAGGAGUCUCGAGCAGAGUUGGAGAAGGUACUGCGGAUUGCUCAGGAGGGCCUGGAGGAAAAGGGGGAUCCGGAGGAGCUCCUGCGGAGACACACUGAGUUUUUCAGUCAGCUGGAUCAGAGGGUGCUCAAUGCUUUCCUGAAAGCUUGUGAUGAACUCACCGACAUCCUUCCAGAGCAGGAGCAGCAGGGGCUGCAGGAAGCUGUUCGAAAGCUCCACAAACAGUGGAAGGAUCUUCAAGGAGAAGCCCCUUAUCAUUUGCUUCAUCUGAAGAUUGAUGUGGAGAAGAAUAGGUUCUUAGCCUCUGUAGAAGAAUGCAGAACUGAGCUGGAUCGAGAGACCAAGCUGAUGCCCCAGGAAGGCAGUGAAAAGAUAAUUAAAGAGCACAGGGUUUUCUUCAGUGACAAAGGUCCUCAUCAUCUCUGUGAGAAAAGGUUACAGCUCAUCGAGGAACUCUGCGUGAAACUCCCAGUCCGGGACCCAGUAAGGGACACACCUGGAACCUGUCACACGACACUCAAAGAGCUCAAAGCUGCCAUUGACAGCACCUACAGGAAGCUCAUGGAAGACCCAGACAAGUGGAAGGACUACACUAGCAGAUUCUCUGAGUUCUCAUCUUGGAUAUCUACAAAUGAGACACAAUUAAAGGGGAUCAAGGGUGAGGCCAUCGAUACUGCCAGCCAUGGAGAGGUUAAACGUGCCGUUGAAGAGAUCAGAAAUGGCGUUACCAAAAGGGGCGAGACCCUCAGCUGGCUGAAAUCCAGGCUGAAAGUUUUGACAGAAGUUUCUUCUGAAAAUGAAGCCCAAAAGCAAGGAGAUGAGCUGGCAAAAUUAUCCAGCUCUUUCAAGGCUCUUGUGACGCUGCUGUCAGAGGUUGAAAAGAUGCUAAGCAAUUUUGGGGACUGUGUCCAGUACAAAGAAAUAGUCAAAAAUUCUCUUGAAGAAUUAAUUUCUGGCUCUAAAGAAGUCCAGGAACAAGCUGAGAAGAUCUUGGAUACUGAAAAUCUGUUUGAAGCACAGCAGUUACUUCUUCAUCACCAGCAAAAGACAAAGCGGAUCUCAGCAAAGAAGAGAGAUGUGCAGCAGCAGAUCGCGCAGGCGCAGCAGGGAGAAGGGGGGCUGCCUGACCGAGGCCGCGAGGAGCUGCGGAAGCUGGAGAGCACGCUGGAUGGCCUGGAGCGCAGCCGGGAGAGGCAGGAGCGCCGCAUCCAGGUCACAUUAAGAAAAUGGGAGCGAUUUGAAACAAACAAAGAAACAGUAGUAAGAUACCUUUUUCAAACAGGUUCCAGUCAUGAACGCUUCUUGAGUUUUAGCAGUUUGGAAAGUUUAUCUUCAGAACUGGAACAAACAAAGGAGUUUUCUAAACGGACAGAAAGUAUUGCAGUCCAGGCUGAGAACCUUGUAAAGGAAGCUUCAGAGAUACCGCUUGGGCCCCAAAAUAAGCAGCUGCUUCAACAGCAGGCCAAGUCAAUCAAAGAACAAGUCAAAAAAUUAGAAGACACGCUUGAAGAAGAUAUUAAAACCAUGGAAAUGGUGAAAACCAAGUGGGAUCAUUUUGGCAGUAAUUUUGAGACUCUGUCCGUCUGGAUAACUGAGAAAGAAAAAGAACUCAAUGCCUUGGAAACUUCGUCAUCUGCCAUGGACAUGCAAAUCAGCCAAAUUAAGGUCACAAUUCAGGAAAUAGAAAGUAAGCUCAGCAGCAUUGUAGGAUUAGAAGAAGAAGCCCAGUCUUUUGCUCAAUUUGUUACCACUGGAGAAUCUGCUCGAAUUAAAGCCAAGUUGACACAAAUAAGAAGAUACUGGGAAGAGCUUCAAGAGCAUGCACAGUGUCUGGAAGGAACAAUCCUGGGACAUUUAUCUCAGCAGCAAAAGUUUGAGGAGAACCUUAGGAAGAUCCAGCAAUCUGUGUCUGAAUUUGAAGAUAAACUUGCUGUUCCAAUUAAAAUAUGUUCUUCAGCUACAGAAACAUACAAAGUUCUUCAAGAGCAUAUGGAUCUCUGCCAGGCCCUGGAGUCACUGAGCAGUGCCAUCACUGCCUUCUCAGCCAGUGCCAGGAAGGUUGUGAACAGAGACUCCUGUGUUCAGGAGGCUGCGGCUCUACAGCAGCAAUAUGAGGACAUCCUAAGGAGGGUGAAGGAGAGACAGACUGUACUGGAGAAUCUGCUGGCCCACUGGCAGAGGCUAGAGAAAGAACUAUCAUCCUUUUUGACCUGGUUAGAGCGGGGUGAAGCUAUAGCCAGUUCCCCAGAAAUGGGUAUUUCUGCAGACAGAGUCAAAGUGGAAGGUGAACUUCAGUUAAUACAGGCACUGCAAAAUGAAGUUGUAUCCCAGGCCUCAUUCUAUAGCAAACUUUUGCAAUUGAAGGAAUCAUUGUUCUCAGUAGCCUCCAAAGAUGAUGUGAAAAUGAUGAAACUACAUUUGGAGCAGUUGGAUGAGAGAUGGAGAGAUUUACCACAGAUCAUUAACAAAAGGAUUAAUUUUCUUCAGUCUGUGGUUGCUGAACACCAGCAAUUUGAUGAGCUGCUGCUUUCCUUUUCUGUCUGGAUUAAGCUGUUUCUCAGUGAAUUACAAACUACUUCUGAGAUUAGCGUAAUGGACCAUCAAGUAGCUCUUACUCGGCAUAAGGACCACGCAGCAGCAGUAGAGAGCAAAAAGGGCGAAUUGCAGAGUCUGCAGGGUCACUUAGCAAAGUUGGGUUCUCUGGGCCGUGCUGAGGACCUCCACCUCCUGCAGGGCAAGGCUGAGGACUGCUUCCAGCUGUUUGAGGAGGCCAGCCAGGUUGUGGAGAGGCGGCAGCUUGCCCUGUCUCAUUUGGCAGAAUUCCUCCAGAGCCAUGCCUCUCUGUCUGGCAUUCUCCACCAGCUGAGGCAAACAGUGGAAGCAACCAACAGUAUGAAUAAGAAUGAGUCUGAUUUGAUAGAAAAGGACCUCAAUGAUGCUCUUCAAGAUGCUAAAGCAUUAGAAUCUGCCGCCGUCAGUCUCGAUGGCAUUCUUUCCAAAGCCCAAUACCAUCUGAAAAUCGGGAGCUCUGAGCAAAGGACUUCCUGCAGAGCCACGGCUGAUCAGCUCUGUGGAGAGGUAGAGAGGAUCCAGAACCUUCUGGGAACCAAGCAGAGUGAGGCAGAUGCCCUGGCAGUGCUGAAAAAAGCAUUCCAAGACCAGAAAGAGGAGCUUCUGAAAAGCAUUGAGGACAUUGAAGAAAGGACUGACAAAGAGCGAUUGAAAGAACCUACCCGCCAAGCCCUUCAGCAGAGGUUAAGAGUGUUUAAUCAGCUAGAAGAUGAAUUGAAUUCUCAUGAGCAUGAACUAUGUUGGUUGAAAGACAAAGCCAAGCAAAUUGCCCAGAAAGACGUAGCUUUUGCACCUGAAGUUGACAGGGAGAUAAACCGCUUAGAGGUCACCUGGGAUGAUACCAAAAGACUAAUUCAUGAAAAUCAGGGUCAGUGCUGUGGACUUAUUGACUUAAUGAGAGAAUAUCAGAACCUGAAAUCAGCUGUAUCUAAAGUCUUAGAAAAUGCCAGCAGUGUGAUUGUAACCAGAACUACCAUAAAAGAUCAGGAGGAUCUUAAAUGGGCUUUUUCCAAGCAUGAAACUGCCAAGAACAAAAUGAAUUACAAACAGAAAGAUUUGGAUAACUUUACCAGCAAAGGAAAACACUUGUUAUCCGAGCUGAAAAAAAUUCACAGUAGUGAUUUCAGCUUGGUGAAAACAGACAUGGAGAGCACCGUGGACAAAUGGCUGGAUGUAUCAGAGAAACUUGAAGAAAACAUGGAUAGGCUGAGAGUAAGCCUGUCCAUUUGGGAUGAUGUACUCUCAAGUAGAGAUGAGAUUGAGGGAUGGUCAAACAACUCUGUUCCACAGAUGGCAGAAAACAUCAGCAACCUGGAUAACCGCCUCAGAGCUGAAGAACUGCUUAAAGAAUUUGAGUCUGAAGUUAAAAACAAAGCAUUGAGAUUGGAAGAACUGCAUUCCAAAGUUAAUGAUCUGAAAGAAUUAACUAAAAAUCUAGAAACACCACCAGACCUUCAGUUUAUAGAAGCAGACUUAAGGCAGAAACUGGAGCAUGCCAAAGAAAUAACUGAAGUAGCAAAAGGAACCCUGAAGGAUUUCACUGCUCAAAGUACGCAAGUGGAGAAGUUUAUUAAUGACAUAACAACAUGGCUCACAAAAGUGGAAGAAUCGUUGAUGAACUGUGCCCAAACUGAGACUUGUGAAGGAUUGAAAAAAGUCAAGGAUAUACAAAAAGAACUUCAAAGUCAACAAAGCAACAUCAGCUCCACCCAAGAAAAUCUCAACAGCUUGUGCCGCAAGUAUCACUCAGCUGAGUUGGAGAGCCUGGGCCGUGCAAUGACUGGUCUGAUAAAGAAACAUGAAGCCAUGAGCCAGUUGUGCUCCAAAACCCAGGCCAGCCUGCAGGAAUCUCUGGAAAAACACUUCAGUGAGUCUAUGCAGGAAUUCCAAGAAUGGUUUUUGGGAGCAAAGGCAGCAGCAAAAGAAUCAUCAGAUCGCACUGGUGACAGCAAAGUUCUAGAAGCAAAGCUCCAUGAUCUUCAGAACAUUUUGGACUCAGUCAGUGAUGGGCAGAGCAAACUUGAUGCGGUGACUCAAGAAGGACAAACUUUGUAUGCACAUUUGUCUAAACAAAUUGUCAGUAGCAUUCAGGAACAAAUCACAAAGGCCAACGAAGAGUUUCAAGCAUUUCUGAAACAAUGCCUUAAAGAUAAGCAGGCUCUUCAAGACUGUGCUUCAGAACUUGGAAGCUUUGAAGAUCAGCACAGAAAACUGAACUUAUGGAUCCAUGAAAUGGAAGAAAGGUUCAAUACAGAAAACUUGGGAGAGAGUAAACAGCACAUUCCUGAGAAGAAAAAUGAAGUUCAUAAAGUUGAAAUGUUUUUGGAAGAACUGCUGGCUGCAAGAGAGUCUCUUGAUAAGCUUUCCCAGAGAGGGCAGCUUCUGAGUGAAGAAGGCCACGGUGCUGGGCAGGAGGGCCGCCUGUGUUCCCAGCUCCUCACAAGCCACCAGAACCUACUUAGAAUGACCAAAGAGAAACUCCGGAGCUGCCAGGUGGCCCUUCAGGAGCACGAAGCCCUGGAGGAAGCACUGCAGAGCAUGUGGUCCUGGGUGAAGGCCAUUCAGGACAGACUGGCCUGUGCAGAGAGCACUCUUGGGAGCAAAGACACCCUGGAGAAACGGCUGUCACAAAUACAGGAUAUUCUCCUGAUGAAAGGUGAAGGGGAAGUUAAGUUGAAUAUGACCAUCGGCAAGGGGGAACAGGCCUUGAGAAGUAGCAACAAAGAAGGUCAGAGGGUGAUUCAGACUCAGUUAGAGACCCUUAAAGAAGUGUGGGCUGACAUCAUGAGCUCCUCCGUCCACGCUCAAAGCACUUUAGAGUCUGUGAUUAGCCAAUGGAAUGACUAUCUAGAGAGGAAGAACCAGUUGGAGCAGUGGAUGGAAUCAGUGGAUCAAAAAGUAGAACAUCCCUUACAACCGCAGCCAGGUCUGAAAGAGAAGUUCGCCCUGCUUGACCACCUCCAGUCCAUCCUGUCUGAGGCAGAAGAUCACACGAGAGCCCUUCACCGUCUAAUUGCAAAGUCCAGGGAGCUCUACGAAAAGACAGAGGAUGAGUCUUUCAAGGACACAGCUCAAGAGGAGCUGAAAACACAGUUUAAUGAUAUAAUGACUGUUGCCAAGGAAAAAAUGAGGAAAGUGGAAGAGAUUGUGAAAGAUCAUCUAAUGUAUUUAGAUGCAGUCCAUGAGUUCACAGAUUGGCUCCAUUCAGCAAAGGAAGAACUUCACCGGUGGUCAGAUAUGUCUGGAGAUUCAUCAGCCACCCAGAAAAAGUUAUCAAAAAUUAAGGAGCUGAUAGAUUCCAGAGAGAUUGGUGCAAGCCGUCUCAGCAGAGUGGAGUCGCUGGCUCCCGAAGUGAAACAGAACACAACUGCCAGUGGGUGUGAGCUCAUGCACACGGAGAUGCAGGCCCUGCGUGCUGACUGGAAGCAGUGGGAAGACAGUGUAUUCCAAACGCAGAGCUGUUUGGAGAACCUGGUCAGCCAGAUGGCCCUUUCGGAGCAGGAAUUCUCAGGCCAAGUGGCUCAACUGGAGCAGGCCUUGGAAGAGUUCAGUGCCCUUCUGAAAACCUGGGCUCAGCAGUUAACCCUCCUGGAAGGCAAGAACACGGAUGAGGAGAUAGUGGAAUGCUGGCACAAAGGACAAGAGAUACUGGAUGCUUUGCAAAAAGCAGAGCCUAGAACAGAGGAUCUCAAGUCUCAGCUGAAUGAACUUUGUCGAUUUUCCAGAGACCUGAGUACCUACAGUGGAAAAGUUUCUGGCUUGAUUAAAGAGUAUAAUUGGUGAGCAUGAACCUUAUUGGUGUUCAAGAUAGUUUUAUACAAAUUAGAAGCUAGAAGUUUAUUUUAAGGUGUAAUUUCAAAAUAAUAUUAGUUCAGCAUUAAAUAUAUUACCAAGUGAGGUAAGUGCACAUUCUAAGAACUGGUGAUUCUAUCAAACAUGAUUUUCAUCAACUUUAUCGCUUUUUCCUGCCAUUAAAUUUUUGCAUCACCUUUUCAGUCUUUGUUUGCAAGCAUCCAAGGGCUGCCAGAAUAAAGAACAGAUUUUACAGCAAAGAUUUCGAAAGGCCUUCAGGGAUUUCCAGCAGUGGUUGGUUAAUGCAAAAAUCACUACCGCCAAGUGUUUUGAUAUACCUCAAAAUAUAAGUGAAGUUUCAACUAGUCUUCAGAAAAUACAGGUAAGGGUGUUAUCAAUUAAUUCUAGUAGCGGUGCUGAUGUGAACUAAAGUUACCUCUAAAUCAAGGGUCCCCAACUCCUGGGCCAAGGACUGGUACAGGUCCCUGGCCUGUUAGGAACCAGGCCGCACAGCAGGAGGUGAGCAGCAGGCCAAUGAGCAUUACUGCCUGAGCUCCGCCUCCUGUCAGAUCAGCGGUAGCAUUAGAUUCUCAUAGGAGCCUGAACCCCAUUGUGAACUGUGCACACAGAGGAACUAGGCUGUGUGCUCCUUCUAAGAAUCUAACUAAUGCCUGAUGAUCUGAGGUAGAACAAUUUC